rnacentral:rRNA from 1 species
GAUGAACGCUGGCGGCGUGCCUAAUACAUGCAAGUAGAACGCUGAAGGAGGAGCUUGCUCUUCUGGAUGAGUUGCGAACGGGUGAGUAACGCGUAGGUAACCUGCCUGGUAGCGGGGGAUAACUAUUGGAAACGAUAGCUAAUACCGCAUGACAACAGUUAUUGCAUGAUAACUGUUUAAAAGGGGCAACUGCUCCACUACCAGAUGGACCUGCGUUGUAUUAGCUAGUUGGUGAGGUAACGGCUCACCAAGGCGACGAUACAUAGCCGACCUGAGAGGGGGAUCGGCCACCCGGGGACUGGGACACGGCCCAGACCCCUACGGGGGGCAGAAGUAGGGAAUUUUCGGAAAGGGACGGAAUUCUGCCCGAGCAACGCCGGGUGAGUGAAAAAGGUUUUCGGAUCGUAAAGCUCUUUUGUAAGAGAAGAACGGGUGUGGGAGGGGAAAGUUCACCCUGUGACGGUAUCUUACCAGAAAGGGGCGGCUAACUACGU